UCACAUCUGGACCUUUACACCAGUCCCAGAGGGGGAGAGAUGCACACCUCACACGGGAGGAAGGUCAUGCAGAUGCUAAUUCCACAUCAGAAAAAUUCCUGGAGCAUGAGUACUAGAAAGAAUGUUCCAGAUGUAAGAGCUGGCUCAGCGUUCAUUUCACUGACUCGCUGGUAAGGGGUCAAGAAUUUCGAGGGAGAGACCUCUUCUGAUGCUUUUUGGGCAUCCACCCUGGAGAGAUCCUCACCCCUGCAAUCCAUGGACUCCUCAUCCAGUCACUGCUUCCCACGUGGCUGCACAGAGUCACCCAGAAGAGCACCAGUGGAUCCUGGACUCUCCGCAGCCACCUGGUGAGGCUGAGCUGUUGGCUCUGGAUGCCCUGGCAGUCCCAGAGCCCCCUGUGUGCAGGAGGUGGG